GUUGGCAAGUCAUGUUAGCAAAAACCUUCUCCAGUGUCUGAACAUAGAAUUCCUUCCUUGUAUAUGAUUUAAAACAUGAAUGUAAACUAUGUUUAAGUGUGUAUGUGUGAGAGACUGUGAGUGAGAGAUAUCAGAGCCUGCGAGACAUAAUAAAUCACUGGCCUCUGCCAUAUGUACCCUCCUACUACUAUAUUUUUCAUGUCAAGUAUCCAGGUGGCGAGUGCUUACUGGCACAUAGUCAGGAAAUAAAGUUAGUUGGGAUUUUUCUUAAGAAGCAGCUUUAGUUCUUUUCCCCGUCAAAGAACUAUUUUUACUUUUUACUUUUUACUUCACUUAUUUUAUUUUAUUUUAUUCAUCUUCCUGUCUACUAGCAAUUGGCAUGUACGAAGUUGUUAUCUCCCUCCAGAAUAUGCUGUGCUAACUUAUUACCUAUGCCCAUGGCCUACUGAGACUCCAGUCCUUUGUAUGCUUGUGUUUAUUUGGUU
rnacentral:lncRNA from 1 species